GAUGAACGCUGGCGGCGUGCCUAAUACAUGCAAGUCGAGCGAAUGGAUUAAGAGCUUGCUCUUAUGAAGUUAGCGGCGGACGGGUGAGUAACACGUGGGUAACCUGCCCAUAAGACUGGGAUAACUCCGGGAAACCGGGGCUAAUACCGGAUAACAUUUUGAACCGCAUGGUUCGAAAUUGAAAGGCGGCUUCCCCUGUCACUUAUGGAUGGACCCGCGUCGCAUUAGCUAGUUGGUGAGGUAACGGCUCACCAAGGCAACGAUGCGUAGCCGACCUGAGAGGGUGAUCGGCCACACUGGGACUGAGACACGGCCCAGACUCCUACGGGAGGCAGCAGUAGGGAAUCUUCCGCAAUGGACGAAAGUCUGACGGAGCAACGCCGCGUGAGUGAUGAAGGCUUUCGGGUCGUAAAACUCUGUUGUUAGGGAAGAACAAGUGCUAGUUGAAUAAGCUGGCACCUUGGCGGUACCUAACCAGAAAGCCACGGCUAACUACGUGCCAGCCGCCGCAGUAA
rnacentral:rRNA from 1 species